GACGAACGCUGGCGGCGUGCUUAACACAUGCAAGUCGAACGGGUCUGCCCUGUUUUUUGCGGGGUGGGUCAGUGGCGAACGGGUGAGUAACACGUGAGUAACCUGCCCCUCACUUCUGGAUAACCGCUUGAAAGGGUGGCUAAUACGGGGUGUUCUGGCUGUGCCGCAUGGUGUGGCUGGGAAAGAUUCACUUUUGUGGUGUUUUGGUGGGGGAUGGGCUCGCGGCCUAUCAGCUUGUUGGUGGGGUGAUGGCCUGCCAAGGCUUUGACGGGUAGCCGGCCUGAGAGGGUGGGCGGGCACACUGGGACUGAGGUACGGCCCAGACUCCUGCGGGAGGCAGCAGUGGGGGGUAUUGGACAAUGGGCGGGAGCCUGAUGCAGCGACGUCGCGUGAGGGAUGGAGGCCUUCGGGUUGUGAACCUCUUUCGCCGGUGAAGAAGGUCCUGCUCUUUGUGGUGGGGUUGACGGUAGCCGGGUUAUGAAGCGCCGGCUAACUACGUG
rnacentral:rRNA from 1 species